rnacentral:rRNA from 1 species
GACGAACGCUGGCGGCGUGCCUAACACAUGCAAGUCGAACGGGGCCCGCAAGGGUUCAGUGGCGGACGGGUGCGUAACACGUGAAGAACAUGUCUUUCGGUGGGGGAGUAGCCGGCCCAACCGGCCGGGUAAUACCGCAUACGCUGUUCGGGGCGUCAUGCCCUCGAAUCGGAAAGACAGCAAUGCGCCGAUAGAGUGCUUCGCGGCCUAUCAGCUAGUUGGUGAGGUAAUGGCUCACCAAGGCGACGACGGGUAGCUGGUCUGAGAGGAUGGCCAGCCACAUUGGGACUGAGACACGGCCCAGACUCCUACGGGAGGCAGCAGUGGGGAAUAUUGGACAAUGGGCGCAAGCCUGAUCCAGCCAUGCCGCGUGAGU